rnacentral:lncRNA from 1 species
UGGGAGAGGGGAUUCCCCCUCCGCCCCAGCAUGCUCCUGCUCGGAAUUCAUUUUAAAUAGCAGGAGUAUUAUUUUUCAUUUUCCUUUCCCCCUCCCAUUUCUCCUUCACUGUUUUGUUUUUGUUGUUUGAUAUUGUUUUUGUUUUGUUUUGUUUUUUUCCGAAGCUUCCUCAUGAUCUUUUAUUUUUUUUUCCUGUAUGUGUUUUGAAUUGCAUUUUAAAAUUGCCCUGCUGGAGACACGGCUUGAUUAGAGCUGGAACAAUAGCUCCCUUUUAUUAAUAACGGGAAGGAUUUACAAUCGUACAGCACCUUCCUUGGAAAGCUUUCCAAACCAUUUGCAAACACUCACAAAUUUCAGAUUGCGCAGCCCUUGGCUGUGAGGUGGGGAAGCAAUGUAUUGUUUAUGAAAUCCUUCUCCACGGCAGAUCCUUGCAAACACCACGGGGAUCCAGGAGUCACCCAGGCAGUGGGAUCUGGCCUUGCCAGAAACAUGAGGGACAAUGCUCCAGCCAUGCCUGCGUGUGUCACACACGGGCCACACAAACCCACAGUGUUCCUGUGGUUACUUCUGUCUGCAGAGCAUCAGUGGGUCCCAGGGCUUCCCCUUCCCACUGCUUGCUGCUUCACAAAGGCUGAUGCUUCUGGAAAAAGCUCUGCCUUGUGGCCUUUAAAAUAAAUAAAUAAAGCAGCGCUGCUGUGGAUUAGUCAUCCUUAUUUUUGCAGGAAGCUGUUUGCCAGCGCUGUCCCAAUCACGCAUGUGCGUGUGAGAUGGGAACUCCAGCAGGCUGCUAGCGUGCUCUGCUCGCUGCUCCUUGGAGCUCAGCCACCCGGCCUUCCUUGAGCUGCUCCUGGCAGGUGGAAAAACCCACAGUCCAGCUCUCCAGACCUUUCCCUCCUUUUCUUUUUUCAGUGCUGGAAUCUGCAUUGGCAGGUGUGCAAAUGUGGAGACUGUAAAAGCAGCAAGUGAGGAUGGAUGAGCUGUUUUCUGGGGUCAUAUCCAACUCCAGAGAAGAAACCCUGGUGAUUUAUAAUUUUUUUCUUGUCUCUGCCUGGAUGGCCACAGUCCUGUCUAGUGAUGAAAGCCCUGUGUUUGGGGAGAACCCUUGUGAGCUCCUGUCCCUGGCAUCGUGGAUAAGAACACCACAGGGAAGAGAGUCAGAAAAUAAAUUACUAAAUGCUGCAUUUCAAAAACAUGAAGGGAGUUUUCUGCACAAAGUCAUCUCAUCAGGAAGAUUUGGAGCUCUAACCCUCAAAAAGAACUGA